rnacentral:snRNA from 1 species
CAUGUAUAAAUAUCUGGA